UUAGGAUGAAAAAGUUAUCCCACUUUCAAAUAAGGUGAUCUUGUUGACUUGAAGAAAAGAAAUGGAGUGGUGAAGUGUUGAGUUGAGAUUGAGUCUUGAGCAAGAAUAGGGCAAGACCUCCGGAGAUUAUCUAUGAAGACUUUAUGAGUGGUUGAAGGUGUCCAGAAGUGCUCAUAUGGCUGUGCAAAGAUAGGGCCAAGUCCAGGAGGGACUUAGAAGAGUGUUUGGGAGCAAAUGGGCAAGUGUGCAUACUUAGGGCGACGCAGUACGGAUGGUACGGACCUGUACGGAUCCGUACGGACCGAGACAACCCGAGGAUACACAACUUGGCCAUUUGAGAUGUUUUGGGAGUGUGCAAAGUCCGGGCCAAGAUGUGCAAAGUUAGGGCGUGAUCAGAACAUGUCAUGGAGGCUUUGUGCACACUUAGGGCUGAGUAAAAGGAGUCUGGUCGUGGAGCAUCAAAAGGGAAUCAAGGAGAUCCCUUGUGAAGGCAAGCGGCCAAUGAGAGCUGAGAUGGAGCUGAUUGGCUACUUUGGAGUAUGGACAGGCUGGCUAUAGCUGUAAAGUGAAAGACAGCCUUUACCAUGAACCUGAUCUGAAUAAGGGCUUGAUACAUGGGAGCCUAUAAGGAGCCAAUGGGAGGACAGCCUUCCCUUUGACCAGUUUGAAUAAACCAAUCAGAUAUCAACUAGCUCUCCUCCAAUCAAGACAUUACACACAGAUUGCAAUCUCAACUCUCCAUCCUGGCCAUCCAUUUAUAUUCAGUCAUUUCUAUCCAUUAGAUUUAGGUUUAUGAGAAUGCAAAGUUGUAAACCUUAUAAAAGGAGAUGUGUGGGCGAUUUUGUAAAGGCUUAAGGGAGUUUGGGGGAUUUCCCCUCUCCACUUCAUAAUGAAAUGUGUUCUUGAAUCAGAUUCCCUUUAAUCUCUCCCUUUCUUAUACUCUUAAUCUCUCAAAGUCUCUAGUUUCUGAUUUAAGUAAACACAUAAACACUCUUAUAAACUCUCUCUCUAAAAUCACCUAAAACAAACUCUAAUCUUCUCAGCUUGCUCCAUUGGAGCUUAUACACAUACACAACCUGAGAUCUCUGAAAAUCUCACAUGGUAUCAGAGCCAGGUUCAUCUGAAUCUGGUUGAAGCUUCCGCAAACCUCAGAGCUCACUCCCAUGUCCAUUACAACCAAGAAGAAGCUGUCUGUUCAAUCCGGCUGUUCAACACCUCAAGAGGCAGGCGUGUUCAUCCUGGAGUCCAGAAGCUGUCUGGUGCUGUUCCUCAUCAUCCCAUGUCGCCCUUGAAGAAAGAAGAUCCAAGGAAACAAAGGCAAUGGAGUGGAUUAGCUACCCUCUCUAGCAAAGCCAGUUCCUGGUUCUUGCUAUUCAAAGUCCAAGAAGAAGUUUCUCAAGAAGAAAGCUUGCUGCUUGUACUGGUGUGGCGUGUACAACAUGGAGAAAGGUGGGAGCUAAGACAUGGUAGUUCAAAAGGAAAGGUCCAUGGAAGAUGGAGGCGUUGGAGUGCACACUAACAACUCAGAAUCUGUCCAAUGGAAUCAAGGAUCUAUACAAAGGUCCUUGGCUGUAAGAAAGUUCUUUCCUUUUGUAUAAAGCUUGAGUAUAUUGACAUGUUGUGUUGUGGUGUUGUGAUUGAACAACCUGAGGAUGUGUUAAGAUUGCUAAAUAAACAAUUGUUUAGAAUCUGUCCCAGGAUACUUAUUGAGUUGUGUUUGGUGACUGAGAAGUUGUUGCUUGCAUACUGGUUCAUAAUGAUUGUCUUUUAGGAUGAUAGUAGUAAUGUCUAAACCUGAUUGCUUUCAUGAAAUGAAACCAAGUUUAAAUGUGAAGCAUUGAGUGUUGUUGCUGCCUUGUAUUGAUGCAUUGGAUUCAUGUCUAAGUUGCAGAUUAAGGAGCAUUAAAAUUGCCUAAGUAGCUUGUCUUGAAUCUUGAAGGGAUCUUGCUUGUGCUUAGAGAGUUUGCUUGCAAAGAUUAGAACUUGAAAAUGUCUAGUUUAAUCUGUUGCAUUGCUUAAAGACAUUGGUGUUCAAACUUGAUGAUGCAUCAAGGGUUGACCCAAUGCACUUGUGUCUUAUCUUUGCUGGAGUUUGAGUGAUGUUUCAGGUACAUGAGGAGUGUUCUUUGUCCAUCACUAAUCCUAGUUGAAGAGGAAGACUUUGCCCAUUGUUAAAGCAAUGGAGAGUGGCUUGUGUGUAUGGCCGGUUGAGAUAGCGCAGCUUGUGAUGGUGAUGCGCUCCUGGUUCAUGGAGACACACAAGUAAAGGCCAUCACCAAAGUCUUGGGGAGACUGAUGACCUGAAGGCAUUGGAGCUGAAGGCAAAGGCAGAUCGGUUGGCUUAAGCGCAGCUGUAGGCAGUGAUGUGCUCCCGGUUUGAAGUCUCAUUGAGGCUCACUUCAAGCUUGCACCUAUACAAAGUCAAGCUUGAGGUGGGGAUUCAAGUGAGCUACCAGAAGAUCCUCAAAGCUCAAUGUCCUGAUUCCUCAAGGCCAAUGCAAGCUGAUCAUGUGUAGAUGCAGCCGAAGUAGAGUGAAGAAGAAAGCAACUCAAUGAGCUUCUAAUAAGAAGUACUUGGAGAGUAAGCUGAGGUAUCUCCUCAGUGCAAUGGUGGUUAAGUGGGGAAGUAAGCAUCAAGUCUGAAGAAGAUGGAGGUGUUCCCACAAGGUUGUUCAUGAAGCUUAGUAUGCGCUCACCUUCAAGCUUGGACCUUCCCUAUACUCGGUCUCAAGCUUGAGGGGGAGUAUUAGUAAGCUUGUGUGAUGAAAGGAGAAGCUGUUAAGCUUAGCAAGUGAGGACUCAAGUGGCGAAAUGAAGAGACCACUCCUCACCAUCUUAAACAAGGGAGUAAACCUGAACUUAUCUCUUUAAGUAUAUACAUGAUAGGUUUAUCUCUUGAGGACUGAUACACUUGUGGAAUGUUGUAUCAGGUACUUGGAUACUCAAUGAGCAGGAGCUAGGCGUGUCUUACCUGAUGGAGAUGGCAAGAAGCCACGAGAGAAGGGAAGACUCAGGCCGGUCCAAAGAAGAGUUCCAAGAAGUGUUAGUGGUGUGCAAUGAAGUGAUGAUCAACAAUGCAUCACGAGAAGAGGCCAUGAUCCAGAGUCUUUGUGUCCCUUACAUUGCUGGUAAGGCACAAAGACUCACUGGCCAAUCCCUAGGCCUUGGAGGCUUUACUCUUUUUCCCUCAUCAAGGUUUUGUCCCAAAGGGUUUUCCUUGGUGAGGUUUUUAAUGAGGAAGUUCUUCAAGGUUCCAAGCUUGACUUAGGAUCAACUAAAGUCAAGCUUGAGGGGGAGUGUUAACUUGAAGAGAAGAAAUGGAGAAACUAAAGGUGUUGAGUUGAGUUGGGGCUUGUGCAAAAGAUAGGGCAAGGUGUCCAAAAGUGUCAUGAUGGAUGUGCAAUGUUAGGGCCAAGUCUAGGAGAGACUUAGAAGUGUAUUUGGGAGCAAAUGGACGAGUGUGCAAAGAUAGGGAGAGGCAGUACGGACAUGUACGGACAGUACGGAUCUGUACAGACCAGGGCGACCCAGAUUUGCAUAACUCGGCCAUUUGAGAAGUUUUGGAGUUGGUGCAAAAAUAGGGCGAACCUGACGUCCCGGGAAAGCUUGUGCAAUGUCUGGGCAAGGUUUGAGAGUUAUAAAAGUGGUCCCAGUCUUGUGGAUAAGGUUCUGAUCAGAUGGCAUCAAAGGAGAAUCAAGAAGAUGCCAUUGGAGUGUGAUUGGCUAGUUUGGUCAUGGGACAGGCUGGCCUUGGCUGUAAAGACAAGGGGAGCCACGACCAUGAACCUGGACUGAUCUGUGGACAGAUUAGGAGGAGCCUAAGGAGAGCCAAUCACAGCCCAGCCUUCCCCAUUUUGAAUUAAACCAAUCAGGCUCCAUCUCCUCUUAACCAAUCAGCAUCAACUACUCAGAUUGCAACAAGACCAGCUCAUCUACACCAUCCAUUCCUCUUAAGUUAUUAUCAGCCAUUAGAUAUAGGUUUCUGAUUGUGUAAACCUGUGUAAGCUUAUAAAUAAGCAUGAUGGACGAAAUUGUAUCUCUCUAAGAGAGAGAGGGGGAUUUCCCCUCCUCCUUCAUCAAUGAAAGGGUUUUGAAAACCAGAAACACAAAUCUAUUCUCUAGUCUUAAUCUCUCAGUCUCUCAGUCUCUUAAUCUCUGUUUCUAAGUCUCUUAUACACUCAAAAACACUCUUAUCAAUCUCUGUUCUUAAAUCACCAUUAAAAGCUCUCAUCUUGCUCAAUUGGAGCUUAUACACAUUCACACACACAACCAGAGUAGUACUCUAUAAAAACUCACAUGGUAUCAGAGCCAGGUUCAUCAGAACCUGGUUGAAGCUUCCGCACAUCUCACACUCAUACCUCAGCUCAAAUCCAAGCCAUGAAGACAGCUCCAUCCAGUUCAGUUUCUCCAUGAAGAAGAAGACUGAAGCUUGGCGCUUGUUCCUGGUUCCUCAACCUUUCUCAUACCUGUCCUGAUGAAGAGCCACGUUGGAAGCAAAGGUAGAUGGAGAGGCCUAGCUAACCUGACUCCAAAACACCUUGUCCAAGUGUUUGUUGCAUCUGGUUACAAGAAAGAAGAUGUCUAGAAGAUGGUGACUGUAUGUAUGGAGAAAGGAGGGGUCUUUGAGCUGGAGAAACAAGAAGAUGGUCAUGAGUAGAAGGAAGAGAGGUUGGGUGACGACCUGUAACUCUCAGAUCCAACAAGCCAUGACCUUAAUGCCAUUGGAGGUUCAAGGAACCAAACAGGUUCCUUGACUGUAAGCUAUUACUAUCCCUUCUUGAUAAUGAGCUUGUGUUAUUGACUGGUUGUGAUGUUGUGAUGUGAUUGAAAACCUGAGGAUUGUUUAAAGAUUGCUAAAUGAAAAUGAUUUAGAA